UAGUGGCGGACGGGUGAGUAACGCGUGGGUAACCUGCCUUAUACAGGGGGAUAACAGUCAGAAAUGGCUGCUAAUACCGCAUAAGCGCACAGAGCUGCAUGGCUCAGUGUGAAAAACUCCGGUGGUAUAAGAUGGACCCGCGUUGGAUUAGCUGGUUGGUGGGGUAACGGCCCACCAAGGCGACGAUCCAUAGCCGGCCUGAGAGGGUGAACGGCCACAUUGGGACUGAGACACGGCCCAGACUCCUACGGGAGGCAGCAGUGGGGAGUAUUGCACAAUGGGGGAAACCCUGAUGCAGCGACGCCGCGUGAAGGAAGAAGUAUCUCGGUAUGUAAACUUCUUUUCUCAGGGACGAAGCAAGUGACGGUACCUGAGGAAUAAGCCACGGCUAACUACGUGCCAGCAGCCGCGGUAAUACGUAGGUGGCAAGCGUUAUCCGGAUUUACUGGGUGUAAAGGGCGUGUAGGCGGGAUCGCAAGUCAGAUGUGAAAACUGGAGGCUCAACCUCCAGCCUGCAUUUGAAACUGUGGUUCUUGAGUACUGGAGAGGCAGACGGAAUUCCUAGUGUAGCGGUGAAAUGCGUAGAUAUUAGGAGGAACACCAGUGGCGAAGGCGGUCUGCUGGACAGCAACUGACGCUGAGGCGCGAAAGCAUGGGUAGCAAACAGGAUUAGAUACCCUGGUAGUCCAUGCCGUAAACGAUGAUUACUAGGUGUUGGGGGAUUGACCCCCUCAGUGCCGCAGUUAACACAAUAAGUAAUCCACCUGGGGAGUACGACCGCAAGGUUGAAACUCAAAGGAAUUGACGGGGGCCCGCACAAGCAGUGGAGUAUGUGGUUUAAUUCGAAGCAACGCGAAGAACCUUACCAGGUCUUGACAUCCGAUGCAUAGCACAGAGAUGUGUGAAAUCCUUCGGGACAUCGAGACAGGUGGUGCAUGGUUGUCGUCAGCUCGUGUCGUGAGAUGUUGGGUUGAGUCCCGCAACGAGCGCAACCCUUAUUGCCAGUUACUAUGUUAAGAGGACUCUGGCGAGACUGCCGUUGACAAAACGGAGGAAGGUGGGGAUGACGUCAAAUCAUCAUGCCCUUUAUGACCUGGGCUACACACGUACUACAAUGGCGUUAAACAAAGAGAAGCAAGACCGCGAGGUGGAGCAAAACUCAAAAACAACGUCUCAGUUCAGAUUGCAGGCUGCAACUCGCCUGCAUGAAGUCGGAAUUGCUAGUAAUCGCGGAUCAGCAUGCCGCGGUGAAUACGUUCCCGGGCCUUGCACACACCGCCCGUCA
rnacentral:rRNA from 1 species